rfam:Solanum tuberosum cultivar DM 1-3 516 R44 scf00030_47, whole genome shotgun sequence.
AGCCCAUGAGUUGGACAUUGAAGUAAGAUUUUCUUAAACCUCACCCACAUUUCAUGGAUGGGUUCACCCUUCAAUCGCUUAAACCCUUGAAUGUUAUCCCUGAGUUU